UCUCACAUGCUUAGGAAUGUAUCUGCUAAAUGCUUGUAUUUAUUGUUUGCCCCUAUCGAAACCGUCUAAAUGAUAAUCUCGUGGUCGUUGAGUUUUGUGACAGGAGUUUAUCAUUUUUGUCUUGCUUUUAUUUGUUAUAGAUAGAAUUCUGUCGGAGAUAUGUUAUUCGAAUAUUAUCGUCGUCUUGAAAAAAUAAGAAAUAUUCAUCAUAAUCAACGAGAAUAUUCCCGGUUGUUAUGACCAUGUCGUCACUGAGGUGAUAGGUACGUGAGGUAAGACUGUCAUGAACAUUUAUUGUCCCUGGUAUAAGGAUUCAAACAAUCUAAAUAAUCAGCCAGCUAAUUUGGCUGAGUAAACUGAGGCUGUCCCACUCUGUAAAGUGUAAUCUCUAGAGUUCUCUAGAACAUUCCUCGUGAUGAUAAGGAAAAGUUAUAACAACAGUCCCUCACUUGUUACUUGAGCACCACUGGUUCCUGUCAUCCCUGACUAGCUCAGUGCUUCUCCACUCUGUAUACCCUACUGUUAAUUGCACGCGAAAUGAUGCAACUGCUUUGGUACCUGAAGUAAGUAUGACGUGUCGAGAAGGUUGGACCUCAUAUACUUGAGACAUUUAGGCACGUCACGCUAAUAGCUAAUUGGGGUUAGAUUAAGCAAUAAUUGUGACGGCCCCCCUCCCCAAUCUAAUUAUGAUACAUGAUAUAUAUAAAGAGUGGCGUUCCAUCUCAGCUCAUUGUUAACUCGGUACUAAUUGUAAUUGUGUCCCUCAAGAACAGCUUAGAAGGGGGUUGCAAUAUGACAAGUCAACUCGAAUGAUCAUUGGUUGAUUGUUUCACGUUUUGCUUAGUCUUGGUAUACUUUGUCAAGGUGAAAGAUAAUUGCUCAGUCUCAAGAUUGCUAUUAUAAAUAAAACUAGGACCACUAAAUUACAGAGCUCAUUGUUGAAUGUUGCGGCACUAAUUCUCCUUUAGUAGAUUGGAGAUGUUGUUCUUUGUGUCACUAGUUGCACUGCUCCUGACGGCGACAAGACCCGAGUCUAUUGACCCUGAAACCCAAGAAGAAACAGAAAAGUGUUUAAAAUCCAAACACGAGGAUGAAUAUGGAACAGAUUGGGCUUCCAACAACAGCAAAUCCGGAGGUAGUCUAGUGUCCUUUCGAAGAAGAAGAAGACAAGCCAUAGUGGAGAGGAAACUCGAGAAGAAAUCAUCAAAAACACAUGAAACCAACAUUUUGUUUCGUGGGUCUUGCGAUAGUUACUUCGCUAUCUAUGGUUCUGCGCUUGAGGCUCUGAAGAAAAUGUCAACCAACCUGACUGUAGGAUGUUCGGUAAACAAACAUUCUGCUAUUUCGUGUAUCUACAGCUAUCGUUUGCCUGGUUUGUAGUUGUAUAUUAAGGUGGCAUUAUUUGUGGAAUUUCAGUUGGUAUUUUUCUAAUGACAGAUGGUAUUUCAUGAACCAAGAUUUAGUUAAGAGGCACAGGAUGGAAGUUUGAAUUUUUUCGUGCUUAAUAAAACACUAUUUCUUGUUAUUGUUUACACAUAGUGGAAUGAAGUGUUUCAGAAUGAUUGCAUUAUUAUUAUGGUUGUACCUUUUAUUGAGAAGUAAUAAAUGCACAUGUUUGAAUUCAA